rnacentral:rRNA from 1 species
UACGUAGGGGGCAAGCGUUGUCCGGAAUCAUUGGACGUAAAGCGCGUGUAGGCGGUUCGGUAAGUCUGCUGUGAAAGUCCAGGGCUCAACCUUUGAAAGCCGGUGGAUACUGUGGGGCUAGAGUCCGGAAGAGGCGAGUGGAAUUCCUGGUGUAGCGGUGGAAUGCGCAGAUAUCAGGAGGAACACCAAUAGCGAAGGCAGCUCGCUGGGACGGUACUGACGCUGAGGCGCGAAAGCCAGGGGAGCGAACGGG